GCCUUCCCCCGACUCCCCCAAGAAGGCGCGGGCACCGCCGUCCCUCCCAGCCCCCGGGAGCCUCUCUGCCGUCCCCCUUGGGCCUCUCAAGGCGGCUUCCCUGGCCGAUUUGGAUAUCGGUUUUCGCUGGAUUUGGAAUUGGGACUUGAGGGCGGCUGGGGGGCGGGGGGCGAUGCGGGAACGGAAUCUGGGGUGCGGCGCCCAUGCAACGCCCUCCCCCAUACACACACUCAGGGUGGUGGUGGGAAACCUGGUCCUGCUUUUUUCUUCUCCCUUUCCCUCGCCCCCUCCCCCUCUAUCCUUGUUAUUCUAUAUUUAUCUUUCUUGGGCUGGGGCUGAGUCUCCGGCCGACCCUCCUCUCGCCCUCCCCGCAGGAGCUCACCGGUGAUGUAAUGCGGGACCCGCGCAGGGAGAAGCAGCAGCAGCCUCGGCAGUGGCGGCACCGGCGGUUCUUGCCCUUCGUGAAAAUCGUGAUCUCAUUUCUCCGUCCAAGGGCGAGAGCCAGUCAUCACCAGUCCGUUUACACUUUCCGCUUUUAUUAGCAAGCCCAGGUAGCCCUGCAACAUUCUUCUAGGGGUGGAAGCCGAGGGAUGACAUUUUCCUGUCGCCAUUUGGAGAAAAUUUUGGAGCUGAACGGUACCUUUGCCCCCCUUGAAAUAUUGUUUCCUGACAUUUAAGGAGGCAUGAAGACAGAUUCACAGCCAGAUCCUGCUGAUUUCCUGACGCUGAGCACAGAGGAUGGAGUUAGUCCCCACCCUGAGAAGAGAGAGCCUCUCCAGCUGCCACAAGGAAGAGAAAGAGGAUGUCUCUCUGUGUUCCCAGGAGAUGUGACUGUUCCCACUUUCUCUCUGGAUUCUCUGCAGAAGACAGCAAGAUCCCGCAGGGAGUAUUUGUGGAGAGGAUGAACGAAUAAGAAUCAAGCUGAAGGAAGAGAAAGAAGGAAAGAAAGAUAUCAAUAAACCACCAAUGUGUAGACAAGAGGAGGAACUGUCAUAACUAUUAAGUUUCUGUGACAUUUGAAAAUAAAUGUCCUUUUUACUCUGUGUGAA